rfam:Triticum aestivum genome assembly, contig: Triticum_aestivum_CS42_TGACv1_scaffold_457627_5DS
CAUGGAUCGAUGAUGUGAUUCUUAACUGCGUUAUCUAUCUUUAAAUCUUCUCAAGUACUGAAGAAAACAUUACCUGCUGAGAUCCAAG